rnacentral:rRNA from 1 species
GCCCAAGAGAUCGGGAUAACACCUGGAAACAGAUGCUAAUACCGGAUAACAACAGAUGAUGCCUAUCAACUGUUUAAAAGAUGGUUCUGCUAUCACUCUUGGAUGGACCUGCGGUGCAUUAGCUAGUUGGUAGGGUAACGGCCUACCAAGGCGAUGAUGCAUAGCCGAGUUGAGAGACUGAUCGGCCACAUUGGGACUGAGACACGGCACAAACUCCUACGGGAGGCAGCAGUC